GUUUGGCAAUCUCCGAUCUAUUUCUUUCCAAAUUGAGGUUGUUCUUCGGAUUCCAUGGUAUAUGAUGAAACCGAUGGUUGCCAGUCGUCGGAGACCGGAACCCGGCUCUGAUACCAAGAUAAAAGUUGGACAGAUUUUUGGUGUUUAAUUUUUUUGUGUAUAUCAAUUACUGAUAUUGAAGAGUAUAUAUAUACAAGAGACUAGCCAUGCUGAGCCAUACUGUUUUUCCUAAAAACGCUCCUGAGAAUGUGGACAACCAUGCUGCAAUAUGGAGUCCCAUACUUGCUAUCCUAAAGACCCUCCUGUAAACCAGGAGUCUGAUUACAUAAUAUUAUAGGCAUGGUAAGAAGACAGCACCAUGUUUCCUAGCACAUGGGUAAUGCUUGAAGUUUUUCAUUCUACAGAGAUUUUUUAGUUUAUAAUAAGUUGUCUUUAUUAGUAUGCCCUUCUUAUGGAGUAAAGAUUUUAGCUUGAUAUGUUUGCAACUGAGCUUGUUGUUACUCAGGAGCUUACAAGUCAUUUUGUGUGCUUGUAGCCUAGUUACUGUACAGCCUUGUUUAUGUUGGAGCCUUGGAGAGAUGACUUUGUUGGUGAGGUUCAAACGACGA